rnacentral:rRNA from 2 species
CUGCGGAAGGAUCAUAGUAAUCGUCU